rnacentral:lncRNA from 1 species
UUUUCAUAGUUAGACAUAUUUUAUUUUUGGUUAAAAGCUCUUUUUGGUCCCAAUUUUGAUUCGGAAAAUUCGUUUUGGUUCCUGAGUUGAAUUUGUGUUCAAUUUCGUCCCAAAGAACGAAUUAAAUGUUCAAUUUGGUCCUUUUUCAGUAACUCCGUUAAAAUGGUUAACGGCAACGUGUCCAGCUCUGCAACUGCUGAGUGAGGUGUCAUUUCUUUGCUGACUGGGAGUCCUUUUCAGUUGGAAUUAGGAUUUUUUAAAAAAUUUAGAAGGGCAAAGUGGGAAAAAAAAGAAAGACUUUCUUCUUCCUCUGAAACCCUAAUUCCUCUACCCAAAUAUUAGCUAAUCUGUUUUCUACCUAUUAGCUAAUCUGUUUUCUCCUCGAACAUAUUCAAAAGCACAAAUAACCCAUCAAUCCAAAAGUUACUUCCNUGAUUAGGAUCUCUACCAUCAUAAAUUGAACUUCAUUAAAGUAUUUGAUAAGGAUCUCUACCAUCAUAAAUCUCAUUUCUUCGUUGUUCCUUCGGAAUAAAAUCGAAUGCUUCCCUGCUUCCCUGACUCAUUACAAAUCAAUGCUGCAAUUUGCACGGAAAAUGUAUUAAUUGUAGACAAAGACAUCAGAGAUAUUCUUACUAACCUCUGAAACCCUAAUAGGGAUAAGGAAGAACAACUCUGCUCAAAAUUAGGGUUCAGAUUUGGGGAAAAGAGCACACGAAGUGGAAUUGGAAAAUGCUGGAGGCUGCCACGGUGGUUCCCGUUUCUGCUUUUGGGUUUGUUUUCUGUAGGUGCGAGAUGCGACGGUGAUGGAGGUGUGAUGGUGAUGGAGGUGCGAGGGUGAUGGAGGUGCGAUGGUGAUGGAGGUGCGAGGGUGAUGGAGGUGCGAUGGUGAUGGAGGUGCGAGGGUGAUGGAGGUGCGAUGGUGAUGGAGGUGCGACGGUGAUGGAGGUGCGAGGUGCGAUGGUUGCUGAGGGCGUGCGAGGAAGAAGAUGAUGGACGGUGGUCGGUGGUCGGCGGUUGGGGUUUGGGUAAUGGUAGAGGAAUUAGGGUUUCAGAGGAAGAAGAAAGUCUUUCUUUUUUUCCAGGGACCAAAACGAAUUUUCCGAACCAAAAUUGGGACCAAAAAGAGCUUUUAACCUUUUUCCCACUUUGUCCUUCUAAAUUUUUUAAAAAAUCCUAAUUCCAACUGAAAAGGACUCCCAGUCAGCAAAGAAAUGACACCUCACUCAGCAGUUGCAGAGCUGGACACGUUGUCGUUAACCAUUUUAACGGAGUUACUGAAAA